GAUGAACGCUCGCUACAGGCUUAACACAUGCAAGUCGAGGGGAAACGCCAUCGAAAGCUUGCUUUUGAUGGGCGUCGACCGGCGCACGGGUGAGUAACGCGUAUCCAACCUGCCCAUCACUUGGGAAUAACCUUGCGAAAGUAAGACUAAUACCCAAUGACAUCCCACGAAGACAUCUGAAUGGGAUUAAAGAUUUAUCGGUGAUGGAUGGGGAUGCGUCUGAUUAGCUUGUUGGCGGGGUAACGGCCCACCAAGGCAACGAUCAGUAGGGGUUCUGAGAGGAAGGUCCCCCACAUUGGAACUGAGACACGGUCCAAACUCCUACGGGAGGCAGCAGUGAGGAAUAUUGGUCAAUGGGCGAGAGCCUGAACCAGCCAAGUAGCGUGCAGGAUGACGGCCCUAUGGGUUGUAAACUGCUUUUAUAAGGGAAUAAAGUGGGUCUCGUGAGACUUUUUGCAUGUACCUUAUGAAUAAGGACCGGCUAAUUCCGUG
rnacentral:rRNA from 1 species